rnacentral:lncRNA from 1 species
UGAUGAUCGCUGGAUUUCUUCACCCCGGUCUAAAGGCCAGGCCCAUGAAAACAGUCCAUGAUCCGAAGGCUUCAAUAUUCCCCUCGAGAGCCAGGUCCAGCCCGCUCAGUCACAGGGCCGGACUCCGCCUAGACUCCUCAAUCAAGCCGGCCCAAACUUCUCGGCCCAGUAAUCAGGCCCUCACCAGGCUCAACUUCAGCCCUACCAUUCAACCCAGCCCGGAAAGGGGAAAAUGACCAAGAUGCCCCACUGGUAGGUCCUUCCGC